CCUACGGGUGGCCGCAGUAGGGACUCUUCCACAAUGGACGACAGUCUCAUGGAGCAACGCCGCGUGAGUGAAGAAGGGUUUCGGCUCGUAAAGCUCUGUUGGUCGUGAAGCAAGAUAGAGGUAGUAACUGGCCUUUAUUUUACGGUAAUUACUUGGAACGUCACGGCUAACUACGUGCCAGCAGCCGCGAUAAUACGUAGGUUGCCAGCGUUGUCCGGAUUUAUUUGGCGUAAAGCGAGUGCAGGCGUUUCAAUACGUCUGAUUGUAAAGCCUUCGGCUCAACCGGAGAAUUGCAUCAGAAACUGUUGAACGUGAGUGCAGAAGAGGAGAGUGGAAUGCGAUGUGUAGCGGUGGAAGGCGUAGAUAUAGGGAAGAACACCAGUGGCGAAGGCGGCUCUCUGGUCUGCAACUGACGCUGAGGCUCGAAAGCAUGGGUAGCGAACAGGAUUAGAUACCCCUGUAGUC
rnacentral:rRNA from 1 species